rnacentral:tRNA from 1 species
UUUAUUUUAGUUUAAAAAAAAAAAACGAUUAUUUUUGUAAUAAUUAAUAUAAAAGAUUUAUAAAUAUAU